rnacentral:lncRNA from 1 species
CACUUUUUAUUUCAAAAUUUGAUCAAAACCUGUAUGUUUCCAAUAAGUUUAUUUCGCGCUGAUCAUUUUGGUGCAUUUAGUUUAAUUUUUCGGACACUUUUUCAUCAUAUUUUUAUUCAUUUUUAUCCAUUUAUUUUUGUUGGUUAGCCAAAAUAAUCUAGGGAAUUAAUUAUAAUUAAAUAUCUUUUUAAUUUGAUUUAAUUAUGUGGUAUUUGGUUUUAUCUUAAUUAGUAUUUUUUAUUUGUU